GAGCAUUUUAAUUCAUUAUGCACAAAAGAGGAAAAAGAGCAAACAAUAUGCAAAUAUAUCAAGACCUUGACAUUAAACCGUGCAAAUGACUUCUUGCAAUAGAAACGAUGAAAUAGAACCUGCCCAGUGGCCAUGACUGCCUGAUAAAAUCUCAGCAAAAUGCCGCUUUCUUGGAUGAGAUCACAGCCAUAGAUUCUAAGGGCGGUUUCAGUAGCUUCAUCAAUGCCAUCUUUUCGGGAAGGUGAGUUUGUUAGUUGCUCAUCCGUGAGGUAAAAUGUAUCAAUUGCUGUGUAGAUCAUCUUUCUAUGCUCUCUUAAGCCUUAA